rnacentral:rRNA from 1 species
GUCUGAUGGAGCAACGCCGCGUGAGUGAAGAAGGGUUUCGGCUCGUAAAGCUCUGUUGGUAGUGAAGAAAGAUAGAGGUAGUAACUGGCCUUUAUUUGACGGUAAUUACUUAGAAAGUCACGGCUAACUACGUGCCAGCAGCCGCGGUAAUACGUAGGUGGCAAGCGUUGUCCGGAUUUAUUGGGCGUAAAGCGAGUGCAGGCGGUUCAAUAAGUCUGAUGUGAAAGCCUUCGGCUCAACCGGAGAAUUGCAUCAGAAACUGUUGAACUUGAGUGCAGAAGAGGAGAGUGGAACUCCAUGUGUAGCGGUGGAAUGCGUAGAUAUAUGGAAGAACACCAGUGGCGAAGGCGGCUCUCUGGUCUGCAACUGACGCUGAGGCUCGAAAGCAUGGGUAGCGAACAGGAUUAGAUACCCUGGUAGUCCAUGCCGUAAACGAUGAGUGCUAAGUGUUGGGAGGUUUCCGCCUCUCAGUGCUGCAGCUAACGCAUUAAGCACUCCGCCUGGGGAGUACGACCGCAAGGUUGAAACUCAAAGGAAUUGACGG